rnacentral:rRNA from 1 species
AGUAACGCGUGGGUAACCUGCCUCAUACAGGGGGAUAACAGUUAGAAAUGACUGCUAAUACCGCAUAAGCGCACAGUGCUGCAUGGCACAGUGUGAAAAACUCCAGUGGUAUGAGAUGGACCCGCGUCUGAUUAGCUAGUUGGUGGGGUAACGGCCUACCAAGGCGACGAUCAGUAGCCGGCCUGAGAGGGUGAACGGCCACAUUGGGACUGAGACACGGCCCAAACUCCUACGGGAGGCAGCAUG